rnacentral:tRNA from 1 species
GGGUAGAGCUCAGUGGUAGAGUGCCUGCUUAGCAUGCCUGAGGUCCUGGGUUCAAACCCCAGUGCCUCCA